AAAAAGAAAUUUGUACUCAUAAAUUAUCUCCCUAGAGGCGUAAGACAUAAACUACUUAGAUUAGUUUAGAUUAAGAAAAUUAUAUUUUUAUUUCCUCUUGAUGACCAAACAUAGAACAUGCCCUCAGCAUCUUCUAGCAUUGCUCCAGCAUGUGUUUAUUGCCACACAAAUGGGAAAGAAAUGGCCAGUCUGCAAGGUGUAAGAGGCCCAUUCAUUCUUAAAGUCAUUCCGUGUUCUCUUCUCCCUGUAAGGCUGCGAGCACCUGCCAAUUGUGAUGUGUUUUAUGAUACAGACGAGGGAGCUAGACAAGGAUCACCAAUUAAUUUCCUUCCCAACAAAUGACAAAACAUAUCGUGGAGCUGAAUCACUUAAACUAGUGACCACUGGGUCUUGGCUUCUACCCCAAAGGCGAGUGACAGUUUCUCCUUUUUGACAGCUACUUUAUACUGAGAAUGAGCUCAGCAGUUCCUGCCCCCGUGGCCACAGCUUUCCGAGGCAGGCCUCUCAGUAGAAUGUUCCAUGGCGGGGUUUGGAAAAGACGGUAGAGUUCUUCCCAUCCAGGUCUUCCAAUUUAUAGACAAGCUAAGAGAGACUCAUACAACCUAUAUGACUUAUACAAAAUCACCCUACUUCAAAGAAAUGUGACUCGCGCAUUUAUCCAGUUCUUACAGUCAGGGACACCUUUCUUAUUUACCUUACCCAGCGCCUUCACAGUUUAAGGAUAAGUCUAUUUUUGGCCAAAUUAUGAAACUAGUUUGUAAAUAUGUGGUGUGGCUUAUUUACAACCAGCUUAACUAAAAAUUUUAAUUGAAUAAAUAAAUAAAUUGAAUAUCUUAAAAGUCAAAGAAGGAGCAGGUACUAAUUGCAUUAACGAACACUUGAGUGCUUAUAGUGUGCAAGGCUAUAGGCUAAGUUCUCAGGAGGCUAAUGGGAAAAAUGCAAAGAAAUUCAAGGUAACCUCCAGCAUCAGCCAUGUACCACUGCCAAAAUAAAACAAAGAUGAACCUGAGAAGGUCAAGACCACAAUUUAUCACAUUUAAGGAUCUUGUGGGAUGACCAGGCAGUUCCUCUGAUGUCGACUGGACCCUGUGGCUGCAGUAGGCUGGCGGCUUGGCCAGUGCUGGGCUGAUAGCCCAGGGCUCCUAAGUGGGAAGGUUGACAUGAUGGAGACGGGUGGCCCUCUUUCCACUUGGUCUUUCAUCCUGGGCUUCUUCACCUGAUGGCAGAGAAUUUCAAAAAAGCAAGAGAAAAAGCAAAAGCAAAAUCUGCAAGCCUCCUUGAGACUCCCACAGCAUCAACCCUACCAUGCUCUUCUGGACAACAGUAGACAAAGGUUAACUCAGAUGUAGGUGAUGAAGAUUUCUCUAUCUCUGUGUAGGGAAAGCUGUGAAGCGUUGGUGACAUUUUUAAUCUAUCGUUUCCCACUGUCUCAGGAACUUAGAAUCCAGUUGCAGAAAUCAUAAAUAUAAAUAGCAUUAUUUUACUGGUAGUGAAACAGAAACACCUCCAACUUGAACCCAGCCAAAACCAAGAUUGGGACUUGAACUCUUUUUUCCCACUUUUUAAAAAACUAGAUUCACUCACCUGGUGUCUGGACUUACUGAGGUUCAGGGGUUUUUUGUGUCUCAGUGCAGAAGGAAUUCAGCAAGAGACAAAGAGAUAGGCAAGAAAUAGAUUUAUUAAGGGAGGACGCUUGUGAGAGAUGAAAGCAGGCAGGCCAGCAGGCUCUGCCACUCGGAUUAGUUGGGCUACAUUUUUUAUGAGCCAAGGAAACUGGGGAGGGGGAAAAGACCACCUUUUCCUUGUUCUUCAAGUAGACAUCAGGCUUACAUCACCAGUUCCUCCUUCGUUUUGGGUAAGAGAAUAUUUGACCAUAUGAGGUCAAACUAGGACUGUCAUGAUGCUUUUUUUUAAAUCAGCAGAAGUGUGGUAACAUAUGCUAAAGCACAUUGAAUCAUCUCAGGUUUCCAUAUAAUGAGGGUCUCCUGCUUUGGUAUGUCAUCCUUCCCUUAAAUUCCUGUCCUUCGUCCUGAGGAUCAUUCUUUUGCUGAACUUGAAUGCCAGUCUCAUUUUUAGCUUUCGGUUACUGACCUGAGGCUUAUCUCAUGCUUUUAUUUAUGGUUUUUUAGCUAAGCAAGCCUGCUUCAUCCCAUGAUAUUUUGAUGGCUUUCUUGAGUGAUUAUUAGCUUUGUGGUCUCCCAAAGUUCCCUAGGUUUCCCUUUCCAUCUGUGGCUCCCUACUGGGACUUCUACAACUCUCUCUAACUGUCCUACUCUAUCCCUAUCCAUAGGUACCAAGCCUGUUUAUAAUCCUUUUAUAUGUGUCAUCUAACUUAGUAUUCAUUAUAAUCCUAUGAAUUAUUGAAUGAUGAUAGGUUUUAUUAAUAGACAUGAUGAAACGUCAGCACAUAAAAGGUUAAGUAACUUGCCAGAGGACAAGAAAUUUGAGGGUAUUGAAGCAGAAUGCAAGCCCAAACAGUCAAAUCUAAAUCUGGGAGUUCCCUUCGUGGCUCAGGGGUUAACAUAUCUGACUAGGAACCAUGAGGUUGCGAGUUUGAUCCCUGGCCUCUUUCAGUGGGUUAAGGAUCUGGCAUUGCUGUGAGCUGUAGUGUAGGCCGCAGACACGGCUCAGAUCUGGCAUUGCUGUGGCUGUGGCAUAGGCCAGCAGCAACAGCUCCAAUUCAACCCGUAGCCUGGGAACCUCCAUAUGCCAUGGGUGUGGCCCUAAAAAGGCAAAAAAGAAAAUCUAAAUCUGCCUCUCAAACAACACACUUUGUGAAAUACACAGUAAGGAUGUUGUAAUAAUUUUCUAUUGCUAACAUCACACAUUGCCACAAACAUAUUGGCUUAAAGCGAUAGGAAUUUAUUAUCUCACAGUAUAGAUAGGCAACAGUAUAGAUAUGCUCCAGGUUUCACAAAGUCAAAAUCAAAGCUGGGCUGUUUGGAAAGUUCUGGAAAAAAUCUACUUCCUAGUUCAUCUGGGUUUUUGGGGGAAUUCAGUUUCUUGUGGUUGAAGGAUUGACAUUCUCUUGCUGUCUGUCAGCUGGGAGCCACAUAGCACCUAGAAGCCUCUCUCCAGUCCUUCCAUGGGGGACCCUAUAUCUCAAAGCCAGCAACAGUGCAUCAAAUCCUUCUCACACUUAGAACCUCUAACUUUUACUUCUGCCACCUCCCACCCGCCUCCUCUUAUGCCCCAUCUCUCUCACUGCAGCCAGAGAAAGUUCUCUGCUCCUAAGGGCUCAUGUGAUGAGACUGAGACCACUUGGAGGAUGCAGGAUACCCUCCCGAUUUUAAGGUCUGUACUUUUAAUUACACCAGGCAAGUUCUUAUUGCCCUGUAAUGUAGCACAUCACCAGGGAUUAGGGCAUGGACCUCUUUGUAGGUUAUUCUGCCUGCAUGGAUGUUAAGUACUAUUAGAGUUCAGAGGAAAAUGAGAUCCUGAGGACUGGGAGGUUAGAUAGUGUUCAAGGAAUUGGCUUUUAAGAGAUGCAUGAGAGGUGCUCUUUGUGUUGAGGAGGAAGAAGUAAAUGCCCAUGGGGGAGGCUAUUCCAGUAAGUAACAAGAAUUGCACAAGUAAGGACACGCGGGAAAGUAUAAGGCAUUUGUGGUAAAUGAUAAUGACGAGAACAAUGGAUUCGUGGAAGCAAUUGGUGGGGAGAUGUGUUAGAAAACAGGUGAAGGUCAGCUGGUGGGGAACAAUUAAUGCCACAUAGAGGAAUCUGGGUUUCAUUCUGCAGGCAACAGGAAGUCAUAACAUUUUUUAGAAAGGAGUGAAAAAUAAAGUGGUCUUCUGCAAAAAUGGGAAAGAUAGGAUUGAGGAAGGCACGAAGAUGGUGGGUAAAUCAUAACCAUCCAAUUGUGCAAUAACUGUGGGUAGAAAGGAAGAGCAAUUGGUGAGAAAUCUCAGGAAGAAACGGCUGGACUCUGGAAUUAAUUGAAAAUUACAUGUGGAAGAGGAAACUGGAGUCUUAGAGAAAAGGGGGAGGUGGGUAGGACAGGAUGGAAUCUACUACAAAUAGGAAGCCAGAGUCAGGUUAACAUUAAAUGUGAUCCCAGUCUGAGAACAGCUCUGCCCUAACCGGGAGCAGUUUUGGUCAGCAUCCUGUUCAGCCUUCAUGUCCAACCAUCUUCCAGAUUAGGGUAAGAAAUGGACUCCCCACAAAGCAGGCACCUGCCCGAUUCCCCCUGACUUCAAAAGCCACAUCUCCAGGUACAGAAACGCAGAGACACUUUCUCCCCUGAAAAGUUCAUUUUAAUAUUUUGAGUUAUUUUCCAAACAGUGGUUUAAUUAGUAUUUUUAAUUUCCGUGCUUAAUGAAAAAUUUACAGCUCCAUGGUUGCUUCUGAGGAUUCUAUGUAUUUGUGAGAAAGAUUUUUUUUCUUUCUUCCUGUUUUUUUAAUGUGAGAUUCUUUUUUAGACUCAAAAUCUUCUGAACGUUAAUCUUUAGGGGCAUCUCUGCAUCUCAGAAUUGAUGUAUAUAAUAAUAAUAAAAAAUAUCCCCACUGUACUAGAGGAUGGAUUAAGAGAUCACUCUUGAAGGCAUUUCUUAAUAAACAUUCUUUGGCAGGCCUGAGAUUUACAGGGGCCAUCAUCAGAGCAGCCAUGUAAAUGGGGACAUAUUGACAACUUUCCCCCUUAAAGGCAGAGCAAAAAGGAUUUAUAUGCUUCAACCACAGCUCUCUUGGGAACUCAACAAGGGACUUAUUUUGUUUCUCUUUUAAUAGCUCCUCUUGGGUACUUUAUGGACCAGUUCUCUCAUCUCAAGUGGCUGAUCCCAAGACAUAAAUUAAUUUUAGAUGUACCUUUUAUCCACCUUGUCUGCUAAAGCAAUAUUCACUAUUUGUUUUAGUUGCCAUGGAGAUAAUUGACUUCCUGCUGUGGCAGGAGUCUUGUUUGGGGGUGUUAAAGGGGUUUGGGUCCAAGGUUUCUUUAAUUUCCACACAGUGAGUAAAGCUAUUUCAUCAAUGGAAUAUUUGUAUACAUCACCCACUUAUAACUGGAGUGUUUUGUUUUGUUUUUUUUAAUCACCGUGUGAAAUUUCCCUUUUUAUUUUCCAUCACUUCCUUUUUUAAGGUUUAACCUCUGCUCUCCAAGGUGCUGACUAAAACCACAGCUAAGGGCAAACAGUCCAUUUAUUACUUUUUGUAAGAUGGUUAGACACAGCCUCCCAGCACAAUAUUAU
rnacentral:lncRNA from 1 species